rnacentral:rRNA from 1 species
AGUCUGAAUCAGCUUGUGUGUUAGUGGAACGGUCUGGAAAGUCCGACGGUACAGGGUGAUAGUCCCGUACACGAAAAUGCACAUGCUGUGAACUCGAAGAGUAGGGCGGGACACGUGGUAUCCUGUCUGAAUAUGGGGGGACCAUCCUCCAAGGCUAAAUACUUACCUCUGAC